rnacentral:rRNA from 1 species
GGCGAGUGAAGCGGCAAUAGCUCAAAUUUGAAAUCUGGCGCCUUUGGGCGUCCGAGUUGUAAUUUGCAGAGGAUGCUUUUGGCGAAUGCGCCUUCCGAGUUCCCUGGAACGGGACGCCACAGAGGGUGAGAGCCCCGUACGGUCUGGUGCUGAGCCGCUGUAAAGCUCCUUCGACGAGUCGAGUAGUUUGGGAAUGCUGCUCUAAAUGGGAGGUAAACUCCUUCUAAAGCUAAAUAUUGGCCAGAGACCGAUAGCGCACAAGUAGAGUGAUCGAAAGAUGAAAAGCACUUUGAAAAGAGAGUUAAAUAGCACGUGAAAUUGUUGAAAGGGAAGCGCUUAUGACCAGACUUGGGCCUGGUGGUUCAGCCGUCCUUCUGGGCGGUGUACUCUGCCGGUUCAGGCCAGCAUCAGUUGCUAGUUGGGGAGAAAGGUAUUGGGAAUGUGGCUCUUCGGAGUGUUAUAGACCUCUAUCUCAUGCCCUUCCGGCGACUGAGGUUAGCGUUCUUCACGGAUGCUGGCGUAAUGGUUAUUAGCGACCCGUCUUGAAACACGGACCAAGGAGUCGUCCUGCUAUGCAAGUGUUUGGGUGCUAAACCCCUACGCGAAAUGAAAGUGAACGGAGGUGAGAGCUUCGGCGCAUCAUCGACCGAUCCUGCUGUUUUCGAAUGGAUUUGAGUAAGAGCAUAGCGGCCGGACCCGAAAGAAGGUGAACUAUGCUUGGAUAGGGCAAAGCCAGAGGAACUCUGGUGGAGGCUCGCAGCGGUUCUGACGUGCAAAUCGAUCGUCAAAUCUGAGCAUGGGGCGAAAGACUAAUCGAACCUUCUAGUAGCUGGUUUCCACCGAAGUUUCCCUCAGGAUAGCAGUGCUGAUUCUCAGUUUUAUGAGGUAAAGCGAAUGAUUAGGGACUCGGGGGCGCUAUUUAGCCUUCAUCCAUUCUCAAACUUUAAAUAUGUAAGAAGCCUUUGUUGCUUUAGUGAACGAAGGCAUUAGAAUGUACAGCACUAGUGGGCCAUUUUUGGUAAGCAGAACUGGCGAUGCGGGAUGAACCGAUCGUCGAGGUUAAGGUGCCGGAGUAGUCGCUCAUCAGACACCACAAAAGGUGUUGUCACAUCUUGACAGUCAGGACGGUGGCCAUGGAAGUCGGAUCCGCUAAGGACUGUGUAACAACUCACCUGCGCGA